GCUUAGAACAGUAUUUAUUUUGCAGUUUGGGACAACUCAUUUCUGCUCCACUUGGCAUCAGCUGGGGUAGCAACAAGACUGGAGGCUGAAUCAUCUGAAGUUUCCCUCUCUCACAUGUCUGGGGCUUAGUGGGGACCAGAGUUGGAGGUGUUGGCUGGAACAUGAGGCCUGGGCUUCGUUUCAACAUGGUGGCUCCAAAGGAGAGUGGACUGAGAAAAAAGAGAGAGAGAGAGAGAGAGAAACAGGUAGAAAGAUUGAGCUGGUCAGAGCCAUAUUGCCUUUUAUGAUCUAGCUUCAGAAGUCACACUGUCACUUCUGCCAUCCUCAGUUGGUUCAGGCAGUCACAAAAGUUGCUCAGGUUCAAGGGGAGGGAACAUUGACAAUUGGAAGAGUGUCAAUGCCACACUGUAAAAAGAAUAAUUGAGAUGAGCUGUAUAUUUCUGUGCCUAUCUUUGAAAAAUACAAUCAGCUGCAAGCAGUUCCUAACCUUUCUGGGAUCCUCUGCUGAGUGUUGAGGACAGAGCCUGGCCUCCCCACCUGCGUGGAACCAAUUCUGGAUCCUUGGCAAGUCUUACUCCUUUUGUGGCUUCCCUGGUCUGAACUGAGCUCAAGUCCAGAGCCUCCACCUGGGCACUCUCCCCAACCCCAGGGCUCCUCCCUACUAGGUCCUGGAUGCUCCCCAGGCUCUCCUGGGGCUGCAGUAUGAAUUCAUGACUCCCCAAGUUCAAAGACAUUCAGAGCUCAGCCCCCUGCUCAGCCAUGGGUUUGUCAGGAGAGUGGCUGAGCAGCCUGCCCUAGCAUGUCCCCUGCCCAGAGUCACACUACCCAACAUCUCCAAGCCCACAUUCUGCAUGGAGGGAGAAACUGGAGCUCGGAGAGGGAAACAAUUUCCAGGAGCCACAUAGCAUCUCUCUGUGCCAGACCAGAACAAGCCUACAAAAAUGGAGGCAUCAGAACUAGAAGGUUGUCUGUUACAUCAAACUAGACCAAGUGGGAUCUUCUGUGGCUGGGGAAGUAGGAAGGCUUGUCCUGGGCUUUGCCCCUGUGCUAUGCCGUGCCACCCUGUUUUUGAUGUGUCUUUUGUGGCCCAUCUCCCCCCUAUAUUGUGUGCUCCAUGAGGUCAGGUACUCACCACUGACAAGCUCACUACUGUGUCCCUCAGGGUCCCGUCUGGUGCCUGUGGGCUGGGUGGGUGGAGAGUCACUGGGGACAGGACAACUGAUGCCUUGCCAGGAGGGCGUGAGAAUGCCCCUGAAGAAGUGUUUGCAGAGAACCUGCUGAGUGGUACUGCUUCUCACCUGGCUCUGUGGGGAGCACCUGGAGGACAGAUCUGAGGAUGGAGGAGGCACCCACACACCUAGACGCACCUAGAUGGGGAUGAGAAGCUGUGCCUCCUCCAAGAGGGCGACCCGCAGGAGGAGUGUAUUCACUGCUGUUGGGGAGGUGGGACAGAAACACAGAAGCGGACCUAGGGCCAGUGGUGUGUCAAGGGCAGAAGGAGGUGAGCUAACAGGACUGGGGGAGUAGAGGAAGAAGGAGAAAAUGGGCAGGAGGAGGGAAGAGGAGAAAGGGAAAAGGGAGAGGGGGAGAAGGGGGAGGGAAAGGAAAUGAGGAGAGGGAGGAAGAAGCUGCAGAGGGGUAAACACCGCCCUGACCCCCCCUUCCUCCCCGCCCCCCGCCCCGCAAGGGGUGCCACCCUGAGGUUGAGCGCCAGCCCACAGGACAGCCAAAGGACUUCACCACGUGGCUCUGUCCAGCGGUGGCUCGGUGGUAUGGGGAGGGGGGUGGUGCGGGGAAGGUGUGACAGACACACGGAAAAAUCAACAACACAGGAGCACAGCCUGGAAGGAAAGAAACGACACCCAUCAGAGCUGGGGCUCCGGGGUCGUCCGGAGUUACUCUUGGGAGAACGCGUAGGGGAUCAGAGCCACCGUGUCCGGCCUGGAUCAGCCCCACAGUAGCCAAAACCUAUUCCUAGAGCACCCGCUGGUCUGACUUCUCAGAACGGGUCGCCUCCAUUUUAGCCAAGCAGAGCCUGAGAGCAGUCUCUGAUCCCCUACCAGGGUAGGGGGAAGCGGUAGUACGCCCGGGUCAAGACGUGCAGAGCCGGGCAUUCAUCCAGGGCUCCACGCUCCCAACAGUUGUGAGAGGGAAGCCGAAGCAGAAGGUGUGGAUCUGCGAGGUUGGGAUUCCAUCCCCGCUCUGCCACUGACUGACCUUGGGUUAAUCGUGUGCCCGCCCUAGGCAUCACUUUACGCAUCUGUACAAUGGGAUAAUCCGUCUCGCUCUGCGAGGUUCGGGGGGCGGAGUUCGCGCACGCUCCGCACAGCCGCGAGGGGCGAGGGACUCGGCGUGUAUAUGGAUGCUGGCUCCAGCGAUCUGAGGUCUGCCCGGCCUCUGCCUGGCAGUCCUCCCUCUCGCCGCUCG
rnacentral:lncRNA from 1 species